UUUUGGUUUGUUUUCAAGCGAGCUAAAUUAGGUGGUGUGACUUGGCUAAGUUUUUCCUAGGUUCCAAGAUUUGGGAAAUUUUCAAAUUCUUGGUUUUUCAGAGUUAAUGAUUGGAGUGCACUCUUGUAUCACCAAGUGACUACCGCAAAAAUCUUCGUGCAAGAACUUAUUCAUUGUGGUUGGUUUUCAAACUAGCCAAAUAUUGUGGUGAAUUGGUGUUUGGUGCAAAGAUUGUAGAAAUUUUCAAAGUCUGGCCUUUUGAGAUUAUGUGGUUGGAACGCACUCUUUAUAUCCCCAAAUGACUACCUUAAAAAACCUUGUGCAAGAAAUGUUUCAUUUUAGUUGCUUUUGAAGCUAGCUAAGUUAGGUGGUCAAACUUGACUAAGUUUGUCCUUGGUGCCAAGAUUUCUGAAAUUUUCAAAGUCUGCGUUUUUCAGAUUUGAUUGUUGGAAUGCACUCUUUAUAUUACCAAAUGGGUACUAUAAAAAAGAUCAUUCAAGAAAUUUUGCAUUUUGGUUGGUUUUCAAGCGAGCAAAGUUAGGUGGUGAAACUUGGCUAAGUUUGUCCUUGGUGUCAAGAUUUGUGAAAUUUUCAGAGUCUGGGUUUUUCAGAUUUGAUUGUUGGAAUGCACUCUUUAUAUCACCAAAUGCCUACUAUAAAAAGCACGUGGAAGAAAUUUUUCAUUUUGGUUUGUUUUCAAGCGAGCGAAAUUAGGUGGUGAGACUUGGCUAUGUUUUUCCUUGGUGCCAAGAUUUGGGAAAUUUUCAAAUUCUUGGUUUCUGAGAUUUAAUUGUUGGAGUGCACUCUUUGUAUCACCAAGUGACUACCGCAAAAAUCUUGGUGCAAGAAAUUAUUCAUUUUGGUUGGUUUUCAAGCUAGCCAAAUAUGGUGGUGAAACAUGGCUAAUUUGGUGUUUGGUGCAACGAUUGGAGAAAUUUUCAAAGUCAGGCCUUCUGAGAUAAUGUGGUUGCAACGCACUCUUUAUAUCCCCAACUGACUACCUUAAAAAUCCUUGUGCAAGAAAUGUUUCAUUUUAGUUGCUUUUGAAGCUAGCUAAGUUAGGUGGUGAGACUUGACUAAGUUUGUCCUUCGUGCCAAGAUUUCUGAAAUUUUCAAAGUCUGCGUUUUUCAGAUUUGAUUGUUGGAAUGCACUCUUUAUAUC
rnacentral:lncRNA from 1 species